AUGGGCAGGCAGCCGUGCUGCGAGAAGGUGGGCCUGAAGAAGGGCCCGUGGACGGCGGAGGAGGACCAGAAGCUCGUCGCCUUCCUCCUCUCCCACGGCCAUUGCUGCUGGAGGCUCGUCCCCAAGCUCGCAGGGCUGCUGAGGUGCGGGAAGAGCUGCCGCCUGCGAUGGACCAACUACCUGCGCCCCGACCUCAAGCGGGGCCUCCUCUCCGACGACGAGGAGAAGCUCGUCAUCGACCUCCACUCGCAGCUCGGCAACAGAUGGUCCAAGAUCGCGGCGCGGCUGCCGGGCAGGACGGACAACGAGAUCAAGAACCAUUGGAACACCCACAUCAGGAAGAAGCUCAAGAAGAUGGGCCUCGACCCCGUCACCCACCAGCCCGUCGCCGCCUCCCGCGCCGACCCCCUCGAGGACCUGCAGCAGGAGCACUGCGAUGACAAGGCCUCGUCCCAGGAAUCGGCCGGCUCCGGCACCGGCGCUGGCGCCGAGGAGGAGGCGCCGACGAGCGCCGAGCCGAAGCAGGGCGCCGCCUGCUCUGUCUCCACCGCGUCGGCCGUAUCGCCGUCCCCCUGCUCCUCCUCCUCCGCCUCGGCCUCGGCCUCCGCCGCCACGCCCGGCGGCGCCGACGUGGACUGGCCGGACCCCCUCGACCUCUUCCAGGUCGACGCAAUCAUCGACAUGGACUGGGCCAGCAUCCUGUCCGGUAGCGGCGGCGGCGGCGACAUUGGCGUCGAUCUCUUCGACCAGUGCUCCGACGUUGGCUUCGAUCAAGAGGUGUGGAUGUGA
rnacentral:rRNA from 1 species